rnacentral:rRNA from 1 species
AUACGGAAGGUCCGGGCGUUAUCCGGAUUUAUUGGGUUUAAAGGGAGCGCAGGCGGAGAUGCAAGCGUGACGUCAAAUUUCGGGGCUCAACCCCGUCUCGCGUCGCGAACUGCGUCCCUUGGUUGCGGGAAGGGGAGGCGGAACUCGGGGUGGAGCGGGGAAAUGCAUAGAUAUCACGGAGAACUCCGAUCGCGAAGGCAGCCUUCCGGCCCGUCAACGACGCUCAUGCUCGAAGGUGCGGGUAUCAAACAGGAUUAGAUCCCCUGGUAGUCCGCACAGUAAACGAUGGACACCCGCGGUUUGGCCUGUAUGGCUGAGCCGCCAAGCGAAAGCGUUAAGUGUCCCACCUGGGGAGUACGCCGGCAACGGUGAAACUCAAAGGAAUUGACGGGG